rnacentral:rRNA from 1 species
GGACCCGCACAAGCGGUGGAGCAUGUGGUUUAAUUCGAUGCAACGCGAAAAACCUUACCUACUCUUGACAUACUUGGAAGCUCUUGUAAUGAGAGUGUGCUUUUAGAGCCAAGAUACAGGUGCUGCAUGGCUGUCGUCAGCUCGUGUCGUGAGAUGUUGGGUUAAGUCCCAUAACGAGCGCAACCCUUACCCUUAUUUGCCAGCGGUUCGGCCGGGAACUAUAAGGGGACUGCCGGUGACAAACCGGAGGAAGGUGAGGACGACGUCAAGUCAUCAUGGCCCUUACGAGUAGGGCUACACACGUGCUACAAUGGGGAAUACAGACGGACGCUAAAGCGUGAGCUGGUGCUAAUCCUAAAAAAUUUCUCGUAGUCCGGAUUGCAGUCUGCAACUCGACUGCAUGAAGUCGGAAUCGCUAGUAAUCG